UAUAUUAACACUGGAGUCAUGGUUAGAUAGAUGGGAGUCAAGGUUAGAUAGAUGGGAGUCAUAGUUAGAUAGAUGGGAGUCAUGGUUAGAUAGAUGGGAGUCAUGGUUAGAUAGAUGGGAGUCAUGGUUAGAUAGAUGGGAGUCAUGGUUAGAUAGAUGGGAGUCAUGGUUAGAUAGAUGGGAGUCAUGGUUAGAUAGAUGGGAGUCAUGGUUAGAUAGAUGGGAGUCAUGGUUAGAUAGAUGGGAGUCAUGGUUAGAUAGAUGGGAGUCAUGGUUAGAUAGAUGUUAGUCAUGGUUAGAUAGAUGGGAGUCAUGGUUAGAUAGAUGGGAGUCAUGGUUAGAUAGAUGGGAGUCAUGGUUAGAUAGAUGGGAGUCAUGGUUAGAUAGAUGGGAGUCAUGGUUAGAUAGAUGGGAGUCAUGGUUAGAUAGAUGGGAGUCAUGGUUAGAUAGAUGGGAGUCAUGGUUAGAUAGAUGGGAGUCAUGGUUAGAUAGAUGGGAGUCAUGGUUAGAUAGAUGGGAGUCAUGGUUAGAUAGAUGGGAGUCAUAGUUAGAUAGAUGGGAGUCAUGGUUA